GAUGAGAACGCAGCGAAAUGCGAUAAGUAGUGUGAAUUGCAGAAUUCAGUGAAUCAUCGAAUCUUUGAACGCACAUUGCGCCCUUUGGUAUUCCAAAGGGCAUGCCUGUUCGAGCGUCAUUUGUACCCUCAAGCUUUGCUUGGUGUUGGGCGUCUUGUCUCUAGCUUUGCUGGAGACUCGCCUUAAAGUAAUUGGCAGCCGGCCUACUGGUUUCGGAGCGCAGCACAAGUCGCACUCUCUAUCAGCAAAGGUCUAGCAUCCAUUAAGCCUUUUUUUCAACUUUUGACCUCGGAUCAGGUAGGGAUACCCGCUGAACUUAAGCAUAUCAAUAAGCGGAGGA
rnacentral:misc_RNA from 1 species